AGAAGCGGGAAAGACGGGGAACCCACUGUCUGACGCGGAAACACAUGUCAACUUAGUGAACGAGUUGAACAAACAAGUGCAAGACACAGUAACGCGGGCGAAAACGGCAGAGGAAAAGGUUGCCGAACUUGAACUGGAACUCUCCAAUACUAAAGGGAGAGUAGUGGAUUUGGAAAAGGAGCUGGAGGAGGAGAAGACGAAAGUUCUUGCGGCUGCAGCUGCCACGCCAGCAUCUAAACCUGCCAGCAGAGCGACUAAGAAGCAGGCUCAGAAAAGACAUUAACAAAGGGACGGAAGCUCCUCAGUUAACCCUUGGUUCUCAACCACCAAACCCAGUAACCUUUGAAAAUUGUACAUCAUAGGAACCUUCCAGAGGGGACCGCCAACCAUCUCAGAAAUAUGAUUUUAAACUUUUAAUGGAUCCGAACAGUCCCUCUUAGUGUCAAAUGAUUUCAAUAUCAGUUUCAUUCAGCGGUACUGAAUAAAAACCCCAGAUUCUCACAAUUAACAACUCCAUGCUUUACUCCUGCUUGUGAUUACUGUGACAUUAUAACAGCGCCAUACAUCUACGAAAGUCUGAUCAUUAAAGCCUAAGAACAGUUGCUGGAUGCAGAUUGAAUUACCAUCAUUACAUUAUUAAUUUCACUAUUUAGCCCUGUUAAGUGUCGACCUUUUCUCCAAUUCCUCCUGUUUAUAAACUUACUGUUGCGCUGCUGUAUUUGGAGGUUUCAUAAAUUAUUCGACUCUUUAAUUCCAGAUCAUGUCACUUAUUUAUUAGUUUGAUAAGGAUAACUGAACUUUUUGUAAGAAAGUGUUUAUACAAUCUCUAUUGAUUCAGAAUUAAAAUGAUGUAAAUAUUCGUUGUUUGUACAAAAGUUCCCAAAUUGCCCCAUUUUGUCAGUUCACUGUACUGAUAAUACAACUUGUUUCAUUUAGAGA